rnacentral:rRNA from 1 species
GAUGAACGCUGGCGGCGUGCCUAAUACAUGCAAGUCGAGCGAACGGACGAGAAGCUUGCUUCUCUGAUGUUAGCGGCGGACGGGUGAGUAACACGUGGAUAACUUACCUAUAAGACUGGGAUAACUUCGGGAAACCGGAGCUAAUACCGGAUAAUAUUUUGAACCGCAUGGUUCAAAAGUGAAAGACGGUCUUGCUGUCACUUAUAGAUGGAUCCGCGCUGCAUUAGCUAGUUGGUAAGGUAACGGCUUACCAAGGCAACGAUGCAUAGCCGACCUGAGAGGGUGAUCGGCCACACUGGAACUGAGACACGGUCCAGACUCCUACGGGAGGCAGCAGUAGGGAAUCUUCCGCAAAGGGCGAAAGCCUGACGGAGCAACGCCGCGUGAGUGAUGAAGGUCUUCGGAUCGUAAAACUCUGUUAUUAGGGAAGAACAUAUGUGUAAGUAACUGUGCACAUCUUGACGGUACCUAAUCAGAAAGCCACGGCUAACUACGUG